rnacentral:rRNA from 1 species
AGGGAACGCGGGCGGUAGGCCUAACACAUGCAAGUCGAACGGCAGCACAGUAAGAGCUUGCUCUUACGGGUGGCGAGUGGCGGACGGGUGAGGAAUACAUCGGAAUCUACUUUUUCGUGGGGGAUAACGUAGGGAAACUUACGCUAAUACCGCAUACGACCUACGGGGGAAAGCAGGGGAGCGGCGGACCGUGCGCGAGUGAAGGAGCCGAGGUCGGAUUAGCUAGUUGGCGGGGUAAAGGCCCACCAAGGCGACGAUCCGUAGCUGGUCUGAGAGGAUGAUCAGCCACACUGGAACUGAGACACGGUCCAGACUCCUACGGGAGGCAGCAGUGGGGAAUCUUGGGCCGUGGGCGCGCGCCUGCUCCCGCCCUCCCGCGUGGGUGAAGAAGGCCUUCGGGUUGUAAAGCCCUUUUGUUGGGAAAGAAAAGCAGCAGGUUACUACCCCGCUGUUCUGCCGGUCCCCCCCGCAUCAGCCCCGGCUCCCUUCGUG